UCCCGUGUGGCUCAGUUGGUAGAGCAUGGUGUUUGCAACGCCAGGGUUGUGGGUUCGAUUCCCACAGGGGGAC
rfam:Salmo salar isolate Sally breed double haploid chromosome ssa01, whole genome shotgun sequence.